rnacentral:rRNA from 1 species
AUACGGAGGGGGCUAGCGUUGUUCGGAAUUACUGGGCGUAAAGCGUACGUAGGCGGACUGAUCAGUUGGGGGUGAAAUCCCAGGGCUUAACCCUGGAACUGCCUUCAAUACUGUCAGUCUUGAGUUUGGGAGAGGUGAGUGGAAUUCCUAGUGUAGAGGUGAAAUUCAUAGAUAUUAGGAGGAACACCAGUGGCGAAGGCGGCUCACUGGCCCAUUACUGACGCUGAGGUACGAAAGCGUGGGGAGCAAACAGAAUUAGAUACCCUAGUAGUCC